ACUUUAUAGACGAUAAUCACCGUGGGUUUGGCUUAAUUUCAGAGUAGUUUACGAGAGAGCGCUAGCUUAUCAAUUGCAAGGGCAUAUUCAGUAUCAUGGCAAAAGAAAAUGUCUCUGAUCUCGAUUUUGUUGAUGAUUUCCACUUCCCUGCGCUUUUCGAUAAUGAAGAGAACCAGGAAGACUUUACAGAAGCCAAACACGCAGAAGAGAUGCAAUUCCAGGUGGGUUGUGUGAUCAUUUCUAAGAUGAAUAAGGAUAACCCAUCAUCGGUUUUGAUGACUGGAGCACUUCCAGAGCCAAAUCACCAGGAAGAUGGUCAGCCCUCCCACAGUUUCUGCGAUAUUUGUGCGGAAAGAAAAGAAAGUAACCAAAUGUUCUCAACUGAUAAAUGUGUUCAUUCUUAUUGCUCCGAUUGUAUAAGCAAACAUGUGGCUGCAAAGAUUCAGGAAAGCAUUACAGUCGUUACUUGUCCAGGAUUGAAUUGUAAGGCUGUGCUUGAACUGGAAACUUGCAGGAUUAAGCUCAACAAGGGAGUGAUUGAUCUUUGGGAGGAUGCGCUUUGCCAGGAGCUAAUCAGCGUUUCGCAGAGAUUUUACUGCCCAUAUAAGGACUGUUCGGCCAUGUUGGUGAAUGAUAAAGAAGGACAAGAGAUUAGUGAAGCUGAGUGCCCGUUCUGCCAUAGAUUGUUUUGUGCUCGGUGUCAUGUCCCUUGGCAUUCUGGCGUUGAUUGUGAGGUGUUCCAGAAGCUUAAUGAGGACGAGAGAGGGAGAGAAGAUCUGAUGGUGAUGGAACUUGCUAGGGAUCAGAAAUGGAGCAGAUGUCCCCAAUGCAAAUUCUACGUGGAAAGAACAGAAGGUUGCCCGCAUAUGACUUGCAGGUGUGGUUUCCAGUUUUGCUAUGGAUGUGAAUCGGAGUGGACAGAAAGUCAUGGUGGUUGCUCGAGAAACUAGCUUGGCUGGAGAAAGCAUGAGUGUGGAAUGCAUUUACAACACUUUAAGGCAUAAAAGAAACUACCAGGAAGUUGCUUCUUCAAUGGGGAAAGUUGUUUUUCAAGAAAGGAGUAAAGCAGAUGGCGCUAUAUGAAUGGUUAGAAAAAAGCAAAAUGCACUAUAAGUUAUGGCAUGUUUAUAUUCAUAUAUUUAUGUAAUGCAUUUAGCUUUUCUAAUGUUUUGAGUGUUUAUGACUCAAAAGCAAAAACUGUUUGUCUACUAGUAUUUGAUGCAAUUCAUUUUACAUGUUUGCUUGAAAAACA
rnacentral:misc_RNA from 1 species